CACGUAGUUAGCCGUGGCUUUCUGGUGAGGUACCGUCAAGGUACCAGUAGUUAGUUGGUACUUGUUCUUCCCUCACAACAGGGUUUUACGAUCCGAAAACCUUCGUCACUCACGCGGCGUUGCUCCGUCAGACUUGCGUCCAUUGCGGAAGAUUCCCUACUGCUGCCUCCCGUAGGAGUCUGGGCCGUGUCUCAGUCCCAGUGUGGCCGAUCACCCUCUCAGGUCGGCUACGCAUCGUCGCCUUGGUGGGCCAUUACCCCCACCAACUUAGCUAAUGCGCCGCGGGCCCAUCCUGCAGUGACAGCCGAAACCGUCUUUCCGUGGAACCUCAGGAGAGGUUCCAAACUAUUCGGUAUUAGCACCGGUUUCCCGGAGUUAUCCCGAUCUGCAGGGCAGGUUGCCCACGUGUUACUCACCCGUCCGCCGCUAAACGCUUGGAGCAAGCUCCAAGUGUUCCGCUCGACUUGCAUGUAUUAGGCACGCCGCCAGCGUUCGUCCUGAGCCAGGACUCAAACUCU
rnacentral:rRNA from 1 species